UUUAAAUUUAAUAAGAGAAAUAAUUUUAAGUGGUGUAAAAUAGUAAUUUUUAUUGAAAUAGAGUGUUAGGUUAUAGAUUAAAAGUAUUGUGAGAGAAUGUUUAAAUAUUUUGAAAUUAAUUUUUGUGAAAAAAAAUUAUUAAGUUUGUACUUUGUGUAUCACGGGUUUUUAAAAUUGUGUUUGUAGAAAUAAAUCCCGAAAAAAAAAAGAUUUAUAAUUUUAUUAAAGUUUUUAUGUCAUUAAAAUUUUAAAUAUAAAUUAUAGUAGUGAUACGCUAUAACGAGUUUUUAUAUCUGGUUUUUUGUCAAAUAAAUUUAAUUUAGGCUGAAAGUAUGGUUGGUUUAAGGCUAAGAAUAUGAGGGUAGAGCUUUAUAUUCAAGAAUAAAUAUAAAAUGAGCAAGUCAAAGUAUGUUUAAAAAGCUAGGUUUAUUAGUGGCCGUGUUUUUAAAGUGUUUUAACUAAUAUAAUGAAAAAAUUAUUUGUGUUUGCUCUUUAUUUUUAGCGAAAGAUUUUUUUAUUUAAAUAAUAUUAGGGAUAAUGAAAAUAUUAGUAGGGUAAUAGUGUUAUAUAUUUAUGCGUGAUGUGGAUUUAACGGUAAAUUGUAAUAGAUUAGAGGAGAUUUAGAGGAACUCGGCAAAAAAAAUUCUUGCCUGUUUAACAAAAACAUGUCUGUAUGAAGUUAUAUGGAGUCUAGCCUGCCCAUUGAAUAAUUUAAAAGGCCGCGGUAUAUUAACUGUGCAAAGGUAGCAUAAUCAUUAGUUUUUUAAUUGAAGGCUUGUAUGAAGGGUUGGACAAAGGAUAAUCUGUCUUUAUUUUUAUUUCUGAAUUUAACUUUUAAGUGAAAAGGCUUAAGUAAAUUUAAGGGACGAUAAGACCCUAUGAAUCUUUAUAUUAUGUUACUUUUAAUUAAUUAAUGUUGUAGAUAUAGUGAUAAGGUGGGGUAUAUUGUGUUGGGGUGAUGAGAAUAUAAGAAAUAACUGUUCUAAAUUUAAAACAAAAUUGUUUGAGGUAAUAAUAGAUCCUUUAUUGAGAUUAAAAGUUUAAGUUACUUUAGGGAUAACAGCGUUAUUUUUUUUGAGAGUUCUUAUCGAAAAAAAAGUUUGCGACCUCGAUGUUGAAUUAAAAUUUCUUUGUGGCGCAGGUGUUACAAGAGAGAGUCUGUUCGACUUUUAAAAUUUUACAUGAUUUGAGUUCAGACCGGCGUAAGCCAGGUUGGUUUCUAUCUUUGAAUAUGUUGGUUAGAUUGCUUUAGUACGAAAGGACCAAGCAAGUCAAAAUAUUUUUAUUUAUUAGUAAAAUAGUG
rnacentral:rRNA from 1 species